rnacentral:lncRNA from 1 species
GUCUGGGAGAUGAUUCCUUCUCUAUCUCUAAAAAGUUUUUAUGAAGACUAAUGCAAGAAGGAUGUCCACAAAUGAAGACAUACCUUCCUUUUCUAAUAGAUAAAGAAAGAAAGACUCUACCAAAGGUUAUAUGAUUAAGACCAAUGUGAAAAUAUCAAGAAAAAACAAUGUCUUGUAGGGCUAGGUCUAAACCAGAAUUUAUAGAAAGAUUAUCAGAUUCCCUAGGUGUAGCUAAAAGUGCAUUAUCUUCUUGAUUAAAAGAUAGGACCUCGGCUAUAGAAAAGGGUUGGUUUUGAUCUAUUGCAAUCAACUCCGGACACAGAUCAUAAUUAGGGGCAGAACUUGUUGACUCCCAUGGUCUAUGGCUGGUCUCCGAAGGUGCAAAGAAUUUAGUAAUAGGUAUGGAAUUUAAGUUAUCCAAAAAGUUAGAAAAAAUAAAAAGAUAAAAGAAUAAAAGUAUAAAAGUAUAAUACAAGAUAAUAGCAAGACUUAAAGUUAUCUCAGCAAACCGUCUUUCUCCCCGGCAACGGCGCCAGAAAUGCUUGUUGAUAUUUGGUUACGCAAUAAGGAAAUGAUCCGCGAGCGCAC